GAUGAAGAACGCAGCGAAAUGCGAUACGUAAUGGGAAUUGCAGAAUUCAGUGAAUCAUCGAAUCUUUGAACGCAUAUUGCGCUCUUUGGUAUUCCGAAGAGCAUGCUUGUUUGAGUAUCAGUAAACACCUCAAAGCUUUUGGAUUUUUUAAUCGAAAAGCUUUGGACUUGAGCAAUCCCAACACCAAUCUUUUUGAGAUCGGUGGCGGGUUGCUUGAAAUGCAGGUGCAGCUGGACAUUCUCCUGAGCUAAAAGCAUAUUCAUUUAGUCCCGUCAAACGGAUUAUUACUUUUGCUGCAGCUAACAUAAAGGGAGUUUGACCGUAUUGGCUGACUGAUGCAGGAUUUCACAAGGGUCGGCAACGAUUCUUGUUAAACUCGAUCUCAAAUCAAGUAAGACUACCCGCUGAACUUAAGCAUAUCAAUAAGCGGAGGA
rnacentral:misc_RNA from 1 species